AAAAACCUGUCCUUUCCUCUUCAGACGACCUCGACAAGUUCCACAGAGAACUUCAACUGUGGUGAAUCAAGGUUUUGAUGUGUCACUGUCAGAUGCCAGUAGUGUUUUUGAUUCCAUAAAGGGACAACACUUGAAACACUUGCAGGAGUGGUUUCCCUGGUAGAUCCAGAGGUGGAUCAAUCAAGG